UACGGAGGGGACUAGCGUUGUUCGGAAUUACUGGGCGUAAAGCGCGCGUAGGCGGCUUUGCAAGUCGGGUGUGAAAUCCCCAGGCUUAACCUGGGAACUGCAUUCGAGACUGCAUUGCUAGAGUAUGGGAGAGGGAAGUGGAAUUUCCGGUGUAGCGGUGAAAUGCGUAGAUAUCGGAAGGAACAUCAGUGGCGAAAGCGACUUCCUGGACCAAUACUGACGCUCAUGUGCGGAAAGCGUGGGGAGCAAACAGG
rnacentral:rRNA from 1 species